rnacentral:lncRNA from 1 species
CCAAAUUUCCCAGUUAUUAGGCUUUGAUAAUUUGAGAUCCGAUUUCAGAUCUUGUGAUUGUUUUUUUUUUUUUUUUUUUUUUUGUAAACCACAAUUUUAUUAAUGAAAAAAAAAACAGAAUUAGCCACCAUUACAGGAGGAAGACAGCAUAAGACCUGCUACAAAGUACACAGCACUAAAGGCUGAAGAGGCUGCAAACACAUAGACAAUACAAUAGAUUAACACAAGAAACAAAGAGAUAAACCGGAGGUGAAGAAAGUUGAGAACAAGCAAAAUUCUUCCUGGCUCAACGGUGACUUCAAGUGACUUCUAAGGUUUUGUAAAGAGCUGAGAAUCCAACAACAAGUGCAAAACCAAAAUGUAUUCCUUCCAC